AGCGUGCGACCCAGAAGGAGGGAGGACUUCGCCAUGAACAGGUUCCUCCUUAUCGCUGUGUAUGGAGCGAUUCUUGCUAUCGCUCUAACAUUUAAUUUUACUACAUGUGGAAACGGAAACAACAUGACAGUCAGGAACGAUUCUAUGGAUGAAAAUCCUUCAAGCGAUUCAGACGAUGCAGCACGCCCCAUGAUUCGCCGCAGCCGCAGUCGAUCCAAGAGUACGUCGCCGGGGUAGAAAUGGCUUAAAUUUAUGGGGACCGUCCAAACUCGAAGACUAAAAGAAAAAUUUAAUCUUGGAAAUCCCUCUCUGCAGUAAUGCGUAGCUAUGACAAAAAAUAUUUCUUAGGCCCUAGCUAAGCUUGAAAAUAGGUUUGUUUUCCUUAUAUCAAACCAUUUUCUUUCACAGUAAUGUAUACCAUUCCUAGGUAAAUUUGGUUUAAAAACAUAAGCAAUAAACAAGAAAUGUAAUUCACAUAUUUUUGUGCUCAAUAGGAUUAAGCUUUCCUUUCUUUUUCGAACCGUUUUGACCCCUGGUAUCGAAGUCGUUUUCCUACACCGUCUGACAAGACGUCAUCACUUAACUGCGACAAAAUAAAAAUUGUAUAUUUA